rnacentral:tRNA from 1 species
GAAAUAAGACAAACAAGAAUAAGCUUCUAACUUAAUUCUUUAGCAGUGCAACUCUGUUAGUAUUUCU